rnacentral:rRNA from 1 species
AUGGGCGCAAGCCUGAUCCAGCAAUGCCGCGUGCAGGAUGAAGGCCUUCGGGUUGUAAACUGCUUUUGUACGGAACGAAAAGCCCUGGGUUAAUACCCUGGGGUCAUGACGGUACCGUAAGAAUAAGCACCGGCUAACUACGUGCCAGCAGCCGCGGUAAUACGUAGGGUGCAAGCGUUAAUCGGAAUUACUGGGCGUAAAGCGUGCGCAGGCGGUUUUGUAAGACAGAGGUGAAAUCCCCGGGCUCAACCUGGGAACUGCCUUUGUGACUGCAAGGCUAGAGUACGGCAGAGGGGGAUGGAAUUCCGCGUGUAGCAGUGAAAUGCGUAGAUAUGCGGAGGAACACCGAUGGCGAAGGCAAUCCCCUGGGCCUGUACUGACGCUCAUGCACGAAAGCGUGGGGAGCAAACAGGAUUAGAUACCCUGGUAGUCCACGCCCUAAACGAUGUCAACUGGUUGUUGGGUCUUAACUGACUCAGUAACGAAGCUAACGCGUGAAGUUGACCGCCUGGGGAG